rfam:Salmo salar isolate Sally breed double haploid chromosome ssa13, whole genome shotgun sequence.
UGGCUCAGAUGGUAGAGCAUGACACUUGCAAUGCUAGGGUUGUGGGUUCAAUUCCCAU